rnacentral:rRNA from 1 species
AUUGAACGCUGGCGGCAUGCCUAACACAUGCAAGUCGAACGGUAACAGGCCUCCGCUUGCUGCCUCGCUGACGACUGGCGGAUGGUUGAUUAAUGUCUGCGCGGCUGCCUGGUGGAGGGGGAUAACUACUUGAAUCGGUCGCUAAUCCCGCAUCAUGUCGCAACACCAGAGAGGGGGACCUUGCGGCCUCUUGCCAUCCGAUGUGCCCAGAUGUGAUUAGCUUGUUGGUGGGGUAACGGCUCACCAAGGCGACGAUCCCUAGCUGGGCUGAGAGGAUGAUCAGCCACACUGGAACUGAGACACGGUCCAGACUCCUACGGGAGGCAGCAGUGGGGAAUAUUGGACAAUGGGCGCAAGCCUGAUGCAGCCAUGCCGCGUGUAGGAAGAAGGCCUUCGGGUUGUAAAGUACUUUUGGAGGGGAGGAAGGGAGUAAAGUUAAUACCGGAGCUCAUUGACGUUACCCGAAGAAGAAGCACCGGCUAACUACGUG